CGCUGUGGGCUCGGAAGGCUCGCGGGCCUGGGCGGGUCACGGCGGCUCCGGGGGUGGGGGGGUGUCAGUGAGUGAAGGGCGGAGCCCACGGUCUCCCUGCCCGGGCGCCUCCUUACUGGACCAGGAGAGCCGAGUGUCCGCGGCAGGGACGCUCGCUCGGCAGCCCUCGGCGCGGCUCCAGGGGCGGCAGAGGUCGCGGAAGGUAAGCGCAGGAGGAAGAGCUCCAGAAGCGCCUAGAAGCUGGGCGGAGCGGCGAGGGUGGGCUCGGUGCUGCCCCAUGCAGGGCCCGAGGGCAGGCUCAGGGGAGUUCGGGGCCUGGGCGGCGGGCUGUGGCCUCUGCACGGGAAGGGGCGCAGCUGCACGCGAGCAGGAAGCAUGCGGGCUGCCGCCCACCCCGAAGCUGGGAGGAGCCAGGCCCGGCUACCUGCAUCCCGAAGCCCGGCAGUGACACCACCGUGACCCGUGCUUCCCACAUGUCUCUGAGGCGGAAAGGUGCGGAACCGAGUGGAGGGGCGUCACGGAGAGGCCUGUCUGCGUGGUACCGGGGGACCCUGAGCUCCAGCUGCAAACAUCGUGGUUGUUCCAGCAGCAGUUUUCACUCACGCGGCUUUGUCCUUUGUUCUCCAAGCUCACUCUUCGUCCCCCAGGGAGUUGAGGGUAGAGCAGUAGAGCUGCCGACCCGUUGUGAAACUCCACAGCCCCUUCUCAUGUGUCCGGGCUGCAGGUGCUGAGAGCCGAAAGCAGCACAUUCUCAGGUGAGGCAGAGCAAUGCUGGUCUCCACGCCCGAGGGCUGGGCUCUUUGUGGCAGCAACGGGCAGAAUGACCUGUACACAGCCUUCGUGAGUCGUUGGUUUUGUCCCGGCUCUGCUCAGUGCCUCUGCGGUGCUGAGCAGCGGAUGCCCAUGCCUUCUGUCCACCAGGAAAUGCCCUGGGGACCAUGAGCGCAUCGGAGUGACAGCUCCCUUGGCAUUGAUUUUUUCCCACCUCAAUUAAAAUAUGCAGUAAGGCCUUGGGUUCUCUCAGACUCUUCUGUUUCCACAAAUAGUGGCUGCUGAGGUGACUCAGAGAAUACAGGGUCUCAGAUGGGAGUCGUGGGACUUCGGGAACUGAGUAAGAAGAAAAUGAAAGGGGGCGUGUGCCCUGGGAACAGCGCGCCUGAGUGUGGACAGCAGUGAUUCCCUGAGCGGCCUCACUGGCCCUGUGCCUUGACAUUG
ensembl:lncRNA